UGGAUCCAGACUUUGAUCCUGGCUCAGGAUAAACGCUGGCGGCGCACAUAAGACAUGCAAGUCGAACGAACUUAAUUCUUUAGUUUACUAUAGAAAGCGGUUAGUGGCGGACUGGUGAGUAACGCGUAAGCAAUCCGCCUAUUAGAGGGGGAUAACAGUGAGAAAUCACUGCUAAUACCGCAUAAGCUGUGAAUACCACAUGGUAAAAAUAGAAAAGGAGCAAUCCGCUAAUAGAUGAGCUUGCGUCGGAUUAGUUAGUUGGUGAGGUAACGGCCCACCAAGACGAUGAUCAGUAGCCGGACUGAGAGGUUAAACGGCCACAUUGGGGCUGAGAUACGGCCCAGACUCCUACGGGAGGCAGCAGUCGGGAAUAUUGCGCAAUGGAAGAAACUCUGACGCAGUGACGCCGCGUGCAGGAAGAAGGUUUUCGGAUUGUAAACUGCUUUAGACAGGGAAGAAAGAAAUGACGGUACCUGUAGAAUAAGCUCCGGCUAACUACGUGCCAGCAGCCGCGGUAAUACGUAGGGAGCAAGCGUUAUCCGGAUUUAUUGGGUGUAAAGGGUGCGUAGACGGGUAUGCAAGUUAGUAGUGAAAUCCCUCGGCUUAACUGAGGAACUGCUACUAAAACUACAUAUCUUGAGUGCUGGAGGGGAAAGUGGAAUUCCUAGUGUAGCGGUGAAAUGCGUAGAUACUAGGAAGAACACCGGUGGCGAAGGCGACUUUCUGGACAGUAACUGACGUUGAGGCACGAAAGUGUGGGGAGCAAACAGGAUUAGAUACCCUGGUAGUCCACACCGUAAACGAUGGAUACUAGGUGUAGGUGGUGAUGAACCGUCUGUGCCGUCGCAAACGCAGUAAGUAUCCCACCUGGGGAGUACGACCGCAAGGUUGCAACUCAAAGGAAUUGACGGA
rnacentral:rRNA from 1 species